UACGAAGGGUGCAAGCGUUACUCGGAAUUACUGGGCGUAAAGCGUGCGCAGGCGGUUAUGUAAGACAGAUGUGAAAUGCCCGGGCUUAACCUGGGAACUGCAUUUGUGACUGCAUGGCUAGAGUUUGGCAGAGGGGGGGUAGAAUUCCACGUGUAGCAGUGAAAUGCGUAGAUAUGUGGAGGAACGACCGAUGGCGAAGGCAGCCCCCUGGGUCGAAGACUGACGCUCAUGC
rnacentral:rRNA from 1 species